rnacentral:rRNA from 1 species
AUUGAACGCUGGCGACAUGCUUUACACAUGCAAGUCGAACGGUAACAGGCCGCAAGGUGCUGACGAGUGGCGAACGGGUGAGUAAUGCAUCGGAACGUGCCCAGUCGUGGGGGAUAACGCAGCGAAAGCUGCGCUAAUACCGCAUACGAUCUAUGGAUGAAAGCGGGGGACCGUAAGGCCUCGCGCGAUUGGAGCGGCCGAUGUCAGAUUAGGUAGUUGGUGGGGUAAAGGCUCACCAAGCCAACGAUCUGUAGCUGGUCUGAGAGGACGACCAGCCACACUGGGACUGAGACACGGCCCAGACUCCUACGGGAGGCAGCAGUGGGGAAUUUUGGACAAUGGGCGCAAGCCUGAUCCAGCAAUGCCGCGUGCAGGAUGAAGGCCUUCGGGUUGUAAACUGCUUUUGUACGGAACGAAAAAGCUCUGGUUAAUACCUGGGGCUCAUGACGGUACCGUAAGAAUAAACACCGGCUAACUACGUGCCAGCAGCCGCAGUAAAAC